rnacentral:pre_miRNA from 1 species
GUCCUACUCCCUCCGUUCGGAAUUACUUGUCGCAGAAAUGGAUGUAUCUAGACGUAUUUUAAUUUUAGAUACAUCCAUUUUCGCGACAAGUAAUUCCGAACGGAGGGAGUACUUU